GAUGAAGAACGUAGCGAAAUGCGAUACGUAGUGUGAAUUGCAGAAUUCAGUGAAUCAUCGAAUCUUUGAACGCACAUUGCACCUCUCGGUAUUCCGGGAGGUAUGCCUGUUCGAGCGUCAUUUGUACCCACAAGCUCUGCUUGGUGUUGGGUGUUUGUUCCGCCUCUGUGUGUGAACUCGCCUCAAAACAAUUGGCAGCCGGCGUACUUGUUUCGGAGCGCAGCACAUUUUGCGAUCCAGAUCAACGUACAGCGGCAUCCAAGAAGCCUUAUUUAACGCUCUUGACCUCGGAUCAGGUAGGGAUACCCGCUGAACUUAAGCAUAUCAAUAAGCGGAGGA
rnacentral:misc_RNA from 1 species